rnacentral:lncRNA from 1 species
UUUUUUUUUUUUUUUUUUUCUUUUAAGGGCCGCACCCGCAGCAUGUGGAGGUUCCCAGGCUAGGGGUCUAAAUGGAGCUGUAGCUACUGGCCUGCGCCACAGCCACAGCAAUGCAGGAUCCGAGGCACGUCUUUGACUCACACCACAGCUCACAGCAACGCCAGAUCCUUAACCCACUGAGCGAGGCCAGGGAUCGAACCCGCGACCUCAUGGUUCUAGUCGGAUUCAUUUUGCUGUGCCAUGAUAGGAACUCCCAGAAUCUUUUUUUUUUUUUAAGUUAAUUUCUUUUUUAAGUUUUAUUGAAGUAUAUUUAAUUUACAAGGUUGUGAUAAUUUCUGCUGUACAACAAAUGACUCAGUAAAUGACUUAAAACACGUAAAGGAUGUAGAGAGCUGUCUAGCACCCAGUAGAUGUUGGCACUUGUCAUUCGACGUGUAGAACCUGGCAUGAGCCCGCCUUAUCCUGAGCCCAGGGGUCAUGAUUUAGUGCCAUAAUAAAGCAACCUGAGGAGCCCAGACUGUAAAAGGAAGCCUGCCAUCUGGGCUGAAAUUAACACCUUAAAUCUGCAGUUACCAAAAGUAACCAUUCUUCAGAUAUUUCUAAGACUAGAGGGAUUAAAUUUACCUACAUUUCAUUUUAACUAAAAUGGAUCGAGUGGUUCUGUGUGCUGCGUCUUGGGGGUGCAGAAACGCUUCGGCUGCUGACCCGAAGGACCCAGGGUCAGGGAGAUACAUACUUUCAUUAUGUUUGGGUAAGUGGCAAGAUAGAUAACUAGUAUUGUUAAGAAGAACAUUAUCCUGGAGUUCUCGUCGUGGCCAAGUGGUUAACAAAUCCGACCAGGAACCAUGAGGUUGCGGGUUCGAUCCCCGGCCUUGCUCAGUGGGUUAAGGAUCCCGCGUUGCUAUGGCUGUAGUGUAGGCCGGUGGCUACAGCUCCGAUUCGACCCCUAGCCUGGGAACCUCCAUAUGCCACAGGAGAAGCCCAAGAAAUGGCAAAAAGACAAAAAAAAAAAAAAAAAAAAGAAAAAAGAAAAAAAGAAGAAGAAUGUUAUCCUGCUUGAAGCGGAUACGAAAGGGUGAAAGGAUAUUAAAAACAUACUAAGCUACAGAAAUUCAGUAAUGACAUUGUUGAUUCAAGAACACUGAUAAAAGUGGCUCCUUGGGAGUUCCCCUGCUGGCUUAGCGGGUUGAGGAUCCAGCUUUGUCACUGCUGUGGCUCAGGUCACUGCUGUGGCAUAGGUUCAAUCCCUGGCCUGGAAACUUCCACAUGCCAUGGGCACAGCCAAAAGAAAGAAAAAACAUAGGGGAGCAAGGAAAGAGCCUAUACAAGCUUUUUAAACUCUUCUCAGUAAUUAGGUUCGUGGUGGUAUUAUUAGUUUUUUUUUUUUUUCUUUUUAUGGCUGUACCCAUGGCGUAUGGAAGUUCCAGAGCCAGAGGUCAAAUCAGAACUGUAGCUGCCAGCCUACACCACAGCCCUGGCAACAGUGGAUCUGAGCCACAUCUUCAAACUAUGCCAGAGCUUUUGGGCAAUGCUGGAUCCUUAACGCACCAAAUGAGGCCAGGGAUCAAACCCACAUCCUCAUGGAGACUACGUUGGUUCUUAACCCACUGAGCCACAACGAGAAUUCCAGUGGUGGUAACAUGAGUAUUGUUAAUCUAAGACCAUUGAGGGAAGAGUGUGGGAAGGCGUAAGUGGAUAAUCUUGAGGUAUUCUAAUUAUAUCAUGUCUUGUGUUUUAGAGAACUAGGGCUCCCAGUAUGGAAGAAAGGAGACAUAGAUGUAAUGCAGAGAGAUUAUGUUAAACUGUAGUGGUCUUGAGUUUAAGUGAGGAGUUAUCAGUGUGAACUCAUGAGCUAUUUUAUUUUUAAAAAAUAUUAUGUGCGUGUGUGUAUGUAUUUCUAGUUCUGACUAAUGAAAAAGCCUACCGAUGAACACCACCAGUGCCCGGAUUGUAGCCUUACAAUAUCACUUCCCACUAAAAGAAACCGGAGCUCUUGAAGAAAUGACUGAUUCCAGGUCUGGAACAGAAAAUGUACAAGAUGUAUUGGGACAUCUUAUAACAAAUAGUGAGAAACUGGCAGAGGCUGUAAAGUCAUGUCAAAAGGACUCAGGAGCUAGUUUGAAAAGACUUCUGUUGCCCAAAUUUGGGACCAUUUGAUCUACAAUAAGGGAGAUAUUUGGAAUAGAUCAACACUUAUCCUAAUAUGUUUAAAUCUGUGACCAUAUAAUGAUUUUUAUAAUAAAAACCCGAUUGAUCACCCCUUCAGAUGAUGGGGAUCCAAAUUAUUAUCUUGAAAUUGGUAAACAAAGGGAAAGAUUCAAGCAUUUAUUCUGCCUUUUCUAGGGGAUCUGGGCCAAUGGUAACUGAAAUAUAGAAGAGGGGAUGCAUCUAUUUAUAAAAAUAUUCCAACUAAUAUACAAAAUAUAAAUGAUAGAAUCAGAAUAUCACCACUUUGGAAUUCCUGGCUCAUCAGGUUAAGAACCCAACAUAGUGUCCAUGAGGAUGCGGGUUCGAUCCCUGGCCUCAAUCAGUGGUGGGUUAAGGAUCCAGCAUUGCCGUGAGUUGUGUAUAGGUCACAGAUGCGGCUCGGAUCCUGCAUUGCUGUGGCUCUGGCAUAGGCUGGUGGCUACAGCUCUGNNNNNNNNNNNNNNNNNNNNNNNNNNNNNNNNNNNNNNNNNNNNNNNNNNNNNNNNAAAAAAAAAAAAAAAAAAAAAAGAAAAAAAAGAAAUACAGAAGAACAUGCUGAAUUAUACCGAGAUUAUCAAUCAGCAAAACCAGAGUAUGAGAACUGUACAGGUCAAAUGCCCCAGAUUUUUCAACAGAUAAGUUAUAAUGCAAUUAAAGUGUUGGACAGGGAUCUAUAAAACUAAGAGACCUAAAAGACAUUUUUUAUUUAUUUUAUUUUUUUUCCAAUAGAUCUUGUGAAAUUUAUUUAUUUGUUUUUUUUAUUUCCCCAAUACAUUAUUUUUUUUCUGCUGUACAGCAUGGUGACCCAGAUACACAUACAUGUAUACGUUCUUUUUUCUCACAUUAUCAUGCUCCAUCAUAAGUGACUAGACACAGUUCCCAGUGCUAUACAGUAGGAUCUCAUUGCUUAUCCAUUCCAAAGGCAAUAGUGUAUCUAUUAACCCCAAGCUCCCAAUCCAUCCUACUCCUUCCCCCUCCCCCUUGGUACCACAAAUCUAUUCUCCAAGUCCAUGAUUUUCUUUUCUGUGGAAAGGUUCAUUUGCACCGUAUAUUAAAUUCUAGAUAUAAGUGAUAUCGUAUGGUUUUUGUCUUUCUCUUUCUGACUUCAUUCAGUAUGAGAGUCCCUAGUUCCAUCCAUGUUGCUGCACAUGGCAUUAUUUUGUUCUUUUUUAUGGCUGAAUAGUAUUCCAUUGUGUAUAUAUACACCAUAUCUUCUUAAUCCAAUCAUCUGUUGACGGACAUUUGGGUUGUUUCCAUGUCUUGGCUAUUGUGUAUAGUGCUGCAAUGAACAUGCAGGUGCAUGUGUCUAAAAGACAUUUUCUAAAAGGACAAGACAAGGUGUUCACUAGGAGUGCACACUUGGUGAUAAAAUCACACACUACAUUUGCAAAGCCAGGAUACUGGUUUCUUUGGGGAGCAGGAGGGAGUGACAUUGAGACAAGCAUAUGGUGAUAUGGUGGGAUUUUUAGGGUUGCUGGUAAAUUUGUAUUUCUUGACCCUGGUUAUGGUUGCAAGGUCUUUUUAAAAAAUAGUACUGUUUACUUUAUUUUAGAAAGUUUAAAAAGAGAAAAAAUAUAAAAUGUCUAAAAUAUACUCAUACUUUAGAAAAUUUAUGUAGUAAUUUGGUUCUAUUAAGUCCCCGUUGAAUUUCCCGCUGUGGCACAGUGGGUUAAGGAUCUGGCAUUGAUGCAGCUGUGGCAUAGGUUGCAGCUAUGGCUUCAAUUUGAUCCCCGGUCUGGGAACUUCCAUAUGCUACGGGUGCAGCCAUUAAAAAAAAAAGCCCCCAUCUUAUGGGUUUUCUUUGGUCUAACGGGGCAUUUAAACCCAUAAGACCCAAAUCAACCACAUUCAACAUUACUAACUACAGAGAGCCAGAUUCUUUGCCUCCCGCCCCCUACCCAGUGAUAGCCUGGGAACAAGCUGACAGUCCGCCUUGACCAGGUUUCCAGGGAACAGAGCUAGAAUGUUAACCCAAAAAGAUAAAGACUUUUUGUUUAUUUUUUAAAACCAUUACUUCUGAGAAUCCGAGAAUGAUCAUCGUCAUGUUUAUUUUCACAACAUGCCUUUCAAGGCACCUCAUGUACAGAUGAAGGCAGGUAUAAAUAAGGGAAAUAUCAAGGCUUCUUUCAGCUCUGAUAUUUGGUAUUUGAGGUAGAAGUAUAUUAACUUCCUUAUUCUUCAUAUGGAGAUGAUAUAAAAUGGAGAGGUUUAAUGGAAUUUUCCAGGUCACACAGAGAGCUAGAGCCUCUGCUAGGCCACCUAACAAAAUUUAUUGCCAGUGUAAUUCCUCUGUUUCUUUUGUUUUUAAUAUCAUCCUAGAAAUAGAUUUUAUUUAUAGUUCCUUCUACCGCCUUCCUCUCUUGCCUUUUUGGCAAGGACCUGAGAGCAAGCAUGUCUUUUUUGAAUUGUAGUAAUUAAAGGUAUACUCAGAAUGAUUUGUUCUCUGAUUUAAAUCCCUAAAAAACCAGAAGAAGUUUUGACAGAACUGGGACAUGGGAAGCAAAAAGUCAAUUAAAGCUGCUUUUUUUCAGGAGUCACAUAAAUGUUAUAAAAGUGCCACAUACUUGAGCCAUUUUAGCAGUUUUCCAUCUGCUUUUGUUGUCUCAAAAAGAGGGAAGUUUUUCUGGCAUUUCUCUCCGAAUCGUCUUAAGUGACUUUUAGAUCAUCACAGUGAGUGGGGUGGUCCUGCUUCUCUAUGCUCCAAUUUGACUCUGAAGCUUAGAACAGGCUGCACUAAUUCAUUUGGUUCGUUUUUCCCCCUUUUGGCUUGAAAAAGAAAAGGAUGUGAAUUCUUUCACUUGGCAGAGCAAGUGGCAUUGUGGGUUGUCCUUCCAGUACAUUUUCCACAGGCACCAAUCUCUUCUUGGGCAUAAACAGGCUGUUGUUGAACAGACAGACAUUCAAAAGGUUCUAUAAAUUGAAUCUUCCAUCUUCUGCUAAUAUGGCUUUUGGCAAUAAAGCCAUUAUCAUGAAGUGCCAUAAAAGGCAUCUUUUUUUUUUUUUUUUCAUCUGUUGCCUACUCAGCAUGGGGUUUAUUGCUAUUUAGAAGUCUGAUUGCUAAAUGCUAAGCUAGGCAGGUCACCCUGCAGUAAAUGGAUAGAUGGGUCUCAGAUAUGCCACCUGCUGUCCUUUGGGACAGUAGGCAAAUUUUUGGCCACCCCAAAGCAUAUAGUUUCCAGGCCAGGGAUCAGAUCUGAGCCGCAGUUGCAACCCAAGCCGCAGCUGUGGCAAUGCGGGAUCCUUGACCCACUGUGCCAGGCUGGGGAUCAAACCUGCAUCCUAGUGCUCCCAAGACACAGCCUAUCCCGGUUGCACCACAGCGGGAACUCUGACAACAGGCAAAUUUUUGGUGGUAAGACCUAAAAUAGCAAGAGAGGCAUGCUCCCUUGAUUUUUGAUUGCCAAUUGGACAUUGGCUAAUUGGCACUAAAGAUCAGUAGGUGUGUAAUCUAUAAACCGAGCCAAUUCUUAGAUACUUAUUGGUUACCUAUUUGGAGUCUGGCGCUGUGAAAAAUUUUAGACCUGGAUAAAAUGGAAAUGAUCCUCUUAAGAAAUUUAUAUCCAAAUUGAGGAAAUAAUACUGAACAAUAAGAAACAAUUUGAGAACCACUGAAUGCCAAAGUCUUUUCAUCUUAUAAAGACUUGGCAUUACACUGGGGCACUUGGUAAAUAGGUUGUUAAUUAUUAUUAUUAUAAUUAUUAUGAGCACAGAGAUGGGAUUUUAGAGCGAAUAGAGGAUAGGCUGAAUUAUUGAUAAUGUCCAAAAGCAGGAGGCCUUUGGAAAAUGGGUGGGAUUUGUACAGAUGGAAGGUGUUUGAAGGCAGGGUGGUAUAAAUUAGGUCAGUUCACAGUUUAGUAUUUGACAUUCUUGUGUCUGUUAAGUCAUUCUCCCACUUGCUUUCCACCUCGCAGAAGUUUAUCGUUUGUUCUGUUAUUAUUCCUCUUUUUGUGGGUUUAUGUAUCUUUUUUUUUUGAGAAAAUAACCUUACUGUAAUUUCAGUGAGGUUUCAGAGUAAAAGUGGAUCAGAUGUUCAAAGUAUCAUUUUAACAGAGUUUUAAAAAAGAAAUAACUUCAUUUAUUUUUAACAAAGAUAGGUACUCAUUAUUUUAACAAAUCAAGCAAUACAAAAAAGUACAAAGAAAUAAGUAAAAGUCAAUUCAUAUUCUACCAUCCAGGAAUUAUAAUUAUUAUUUUUGGCUACAUUCAUAGCAUGUGGAAGUUUCC